rnacentral:rRNA from 1 species
UACGGGGGGGGCAAGCGUUGUUCGGAAUUACUGGGCGUAAAGGGCUCGUAGGUGGCCAACUAAGUCAGACGUGAAAUCCCUCGGCUUAACCGGGGAACUGCGUCUGAUACUGGAUGGCUUGAGAUUGGGAGAGGGACGCGGAAUUCCAGGUGUAGCGGUGAAAUGCGUAGAUAUCGGGAGGAACACCAGUGGCGAAGGCGGUUGCCUGGAGCUUUGCUGACGCUGAGGCGCGAAAGCGUGGGGAGCGAUCCGG